AUGUGGGUUGGCUGCCUGUGCUGCUCCCAACACCAAACCCAUCCCGACACCCUGGAUCUGUUUUCAGGGUGCUCCAUGUGUACAUCUCCACCAAAUUCCCUGGCUGCACCGACCUGGCAGCUGUGCCAUGCUGGCACAGAUGGGAUUGCUGCCAGCAUUUAUCCCAAGACCAAGUGCUGGCAGCAGGAGUUCCCUGAGUGAUUUGUGUGUGAGCUGAAGCAUCUCUGUAAGAGACCAGAGCUACUGAUUGUAAACUGGGCAGCAACAGAGACUCUGCUACCAGCUUGGCUGAGCUGCCCCAGGGUUUAUCUGCCCUGGACGUUGAAACCCAUCCAUCAUUCCUGACCUAGACCUGCCUUGCUCUGGGUUUGGGGCCAGCGCAGGCUGAGGUGGAGCAGCUCUGGGGCAGAGAUAGCCAGGUUGUUGGGACAAGUGACUCUGCAGAGCUGCUUGCUCCCUGCAUGGGUUACCCAGGAGGGGCUCCACACACCCUGCAAUUACUGAAAAGGAAAGUUAAGUGAUUGUGGGAGCAACUUUGUUGUAGAGUUGAAGGCGUUAAAUGGGACAAAUCAUGGGAGAGCUAAUUCCUUUUAUUCGGUAUGGAAAACAAAUUAGCUGGGUACACAAGCCCUUUCUGACACUAUUGUUACUGUUAUUAUCCCUUACUGGUGCUGUUAGAAAUGAGGGCAUUGCAUUAGAGGGAAGGCCCAUUAUGCAAGUGUUUAGAUGUGCUGGUAACUGCUCUCUGCUGACAGGUAUUUACUUAAUGAUAUGUUGGAGUGAAAACCAGCAGCAAGGACAAGCUUUGGAGGGAGCUGGGAGUGCUGAGCUCUGCCUGGUCCAGCCUUGCCUGGACCUCCUGGAGCUGCCUGACACCUCCCACCCACAGCAGGCAUCUCCCAAAGCCCCUUUUCUGUACUUCCAGCAGGAUCCUGACCAGAGCGCGUUCCCAGACUGUGUCCUCAGUGCUCUCCCUGGUCCCAGGCCUGAUUCCCAUGGAUGUCUGCAGCCUCCGGAGCUGCCCUGACUUGCUUGCAAAAGGUCUUUCUGCUCCUGCCUGUGCUGGAGGCAAUGCCUCCUGUGGGUACCAGUGGGACUGGUCACGUUUCCGGUGUCAUGUGCUGUCCAUGACGGAUGGCAGAGCCAGUUUUUCUGCUCCAAAAGUGGGACUGGGGAGGAGACCGCAACACUCAAAUACCCAGAGCCCUGGUUGCUGCCAGCCAUCGAGGAGAUCACUUCUUUUUCAGCUCCAGGGUUUGGACGGGAAGAUAAGGAGAGAGAGGAGGACAAAAAAGAGAAGGAAGAAAAGGAGAAGGAAAAGACCGAGGGAGAAAAAGAGAAGGAGAAGCAGAAGAGGAGGAAGAAGGAAGAAGAAAAGCAGGGAGAUGGGGAAGAGGACAGGAGCAGCAGCAGCUCUGACAGUGACUUGGAGGAGGACCAAGGCAUUGCCAAGGAUGAUGAGAAGGAAGACAAGGAUUAGUCUUUCCGUGCUGGAGCAGCAGAACAUGCCCUGGGCACGCCAAGGAGGUGGAGAUGGAAAUAGCAGCUUGGGCUGGAGGGCAACUGGGCCACUCAGCCAAAUAAAGAUGUUGUGAUCUCCAAAGAGAAAUGCUAUUCAUUCACCUAGUCACACUGCCUACCCAGUGCUAUCCGUCCCUCUGCAAAAGGAAACACUCAAGGAAAGGCAGNNNNNNNNNNCCGGGGACCCUGGAUGCUGGCAGAGUCCAGCCGGCAGCAAAAGGGACCUCAGAGGAGGACGCAGAGCCAGCACCCCAACCCACUGCUUCUGCUGGCAGUAUUAGGACAAGCCCAGAAGUCUCACCAUCAAUAAAAAACUUCAAUGCA
rnacentral:lncRNA from 1 species